AGUGAACGCUGGCGGUAGGCCUAACACAUGCAAGUCGAACGGCAGCACAGUAAGAGCUUGCUCUUACGGGUGGCGAGUGGCGGACGUGUGAGGAAUGCAUCGGAAUCUACUUUUUCGUGGGGGAUAACGUAGGGAAACUUACGCUAAUACCGCAUACGACCUACGGGUGAAAGCAGGGGAUCUUCGGACCUUGCGCGAUUGAAUGAGCCGAUGUCGGAUUAGUUAGUUGGCGGGGUAAAGGCCCACCAAGGCGACGAUCCGUAGCUGGUCUGAGAGGAUGAUAGGCCACACUGGAACUGAGACACGGUCCAGACUCCUACGGGAGGCAGCAGUGGGGAAUAUUGGACAAUGGGCGCAAGCCUGAUCCAGCCAUACCGCGUGGGUGAAGAAGGCCUUCGGGUUGUAAAGCCCUUUUGUUGGGAAAGAAAAGCAGCAGGUUAAUACCCCGCUGUUCUGACGGUACCCAAAGAAUAAGCACCGGCUAACUUCGUG
rnacentral:rRNA from 1 species